AUUAAAGUUGCUGCAGUUAAAAAGCUCGUAGUUGGAUUUUGAAUUAUAAAAAUUUAACAUUCAUCUUUUAGAUGUGAUUUAAUUUUUAUAUUCUUCCUUUUGAUACGCUCCAUUAAAUUUUAUAUUUUUUGGAUUUAAGUGUUUCAAAUUGUUUACUGUGAAAAAAUUAGAGUGUUCAAAGCAGGCGUAACCUAGCCUUUGAAUAUAUUAGCAUGGGAUAAUGAAAUAGGACUUUAAUCCUACUUUCGUUGGUCUAGGGCUAAAGUAAUGAUUAAUAGGGAUAGUUGGGGUCACUAGUAUUUAAUUGUCAGAGGUGAAAUUCUAAGAUUUAUUAAAGACUAACUACUGCGAAAGCAUUUGACAAGGAUGUUUUCAUUAAUCAAGAACGAAAGUUGGGGGAUCGAAGAUGAUCAGAUACCGUCGUAGUCUCAACCAUAAACUAUGCCGACCAAGGAUCCGAGGUUGUUAAUAUGGAUGACUCUUCGGGCACUUAUAGAGAAAUCAUAAGUAUUUGGGCUCCGGGGGGAGUAUGGUCGCGAGGCUGAAACUUAAAGGAAUUGACGGAAGGGCACCACAAGGAGUGGAACCUGCGGUUUAAUUUGACCCAACACGGGAAAACUUACCAGGUCCAGACACAGUGAGGAUUGACAGAUUGAGAGUUCUUUCUUGAUUCUGUGAGUGGUGGUGCAUGGCCGUUUCUAGUUGGUGGAGUGAUUUGUCUGGUUAAUUCCGUUAACGAACGAGACCUUAACCUAUUAAAUAGUUAUUUAAACUUGAUUUUUAAAAUCAAAUGUUUAAAAAACUUCUUAGAGGGACUCUUCACUGAGAGAGUGAAUGGAAGUUUGAGGCAAAAACAGGUCUGUGAUGCCCUUAGAUGUUCUGGGCCACACGCGCGUUACACUGACAUAUUCAACGAGCAUUAUCCUUACCCGUCGGGGUUGGGUAAUCUUUUAAAUGUAUGUCGUGCUGGGGAUAGAUCAUUGUAAUUAUUGGUCUUGAACGAGGAAUUCCUAGUAAGUGCGAGUCAUCAACUCGCGCUGAUUACGUCCCUGCCCUUUGUACACACCGCCCGUCGCUCCUACCGAUUGAAUGGUCCGGCGAGAACUCAGGAUGGAUAUGGAUUUUGGACACCGUUAGGUGCUCCAACCAUAUCCAGAAUUUGUUCAAACCUUACCAUUUAGAGGAAGGAGAAGUCGUAACAAGGUUUCCGUAGGUGAACCUGCGGAAG
rnacentral:rRNA from 1 species